rnacentral:rRNA from 1 species
AUUGCCUCAGUAACGGCGAGCGAAGCGGCAAAAGCUCAAAUUUGAAAUCUGGCGUCGUGUCGGCGUCCGAGUUGUAAUUUGAAGAUGGCAACUUUGGGAAUGGCUCUCGCAUAUGUUCCUUGGAACAGGACGUCAUAGAGGGUGAGAACCCCGUUCAUGGCGAGAUGACCCAGUCCUAUGUAAAGUGCUUUCUAAGAGUCGAGUUGUUUGGGAAUGCAGCUCUAAGUGGGUGGUAAAUUCCAUCUAAGGCUAAAUAUUGGCGAGAGACCGAUAGCGAACAAGUACAGUGAUGGAAAGAUGAAAAGAACUUUGAAAAGAGAGUGAAAAAGUACGUGAAAUUGUUGAAAGGGAAGGGCUUGAAGUCAGACAUGGUAUUCAGUGAUCAACUGUCUUUCGGGACUGUGCACUCGCUGUUUACUGGGCCAGCAUCGGUUUAGGCGGUGAGAUAAAUGCAAGAGAAUGUGGCUCCGCUUUCGGGUGGAGUGUUAUAGCUUUUGUUCAUAUCACCAGCUUGGACCGAGGACCGCGCUUCGGCUAGGAUGCUGGCGUAAUGACUUUAAGCCACCCGUCUUGAAACACGGACCAAGGAGUCUAACGUCUAUGCGAGUGUUUGGGUGU